rnacentral:miRNA from 1 species
AUCUCAUCAACCGGAACGGAUUCCUUCCGGUUGAUGAGGUAUAACAUCCUCAUUGACGGAAGGAAUUCAUUCCAAUCAAUGAGGUAUAACAAUCUCAUUGACCGGAAGGAAUUCCUUCCGGUCAAUGAGAU